CCUACGGGUGGCAGCAGUGGGGAAUAUUGGGCAAUGGGCGCAAGCCUGACCCAGCAACGCCGCGUGAGGGAAGAAGGCUUUAGGGUUGUAAACCUCUUUUAGUGAGGACGAAACUGAUGAUGGUACUCAAAGAAUAAGCCACUGCUAACGACGUGCCAGCAGCCGCGGUAAUACGGAGGUGGGAAGUGUUAGCAGGAUUUACGGGGUGUAAAGGGCGUGUAGGCGGGAAUGCAAGUCAGAUGUGAAACCCAAGGGGUCAACCCAUGGCCUGCAGUUGAAACUGUGGUUCUUGAGUGAGGGAGAGGCAGGCGGAAUGCCGUGUGUAGCGGUGAAAUGCGUAGAUAUAAGGAGGAACACCAGUGGCGAAGGCGGCCUGCUGGACAUUAACUGACGCUGAGGCGCGAAAGCGUGGGGAGCAAACAGGAUUAGAUACCCGAGUAGUC
rnacentral:rRNA from 1 species